AGGAAAGUCCAGACACCACAGGGCAAGAUUCCUCAUGCAAAUGAGGGCCAGGCAAUCGCUUGGACGGCUAGUGUCGCAGAAAACAAACCGCCUGUAUAGGUAAGGAUGAAACGGCGAGGUAAGAGCUCACCGCAUGAUUAGUGAUAAUUAUGGCAGGAUAAACCCAAUCUGGUGCAAGACGGAAUAGGGAGUUGAGUGGCCCGCUCUAAAACUUCGGGUUCGUCGCACUCGCAAGAGAACGACCUUCCAAAUUGGAAGGUUGUUAGAUAAAUGAAUGCAGCCUUUAAAGGUACAGAAUCUGGCUUAUAGACCGUAAACCCAU
rnacentral:RNase_P_RNA from 1 species